GACGAACGCUGGCGGCGUGCUUAACACAUGCAAGUCGAACGGAAAGGCCAUGCUUUUGUGGCGUGCUAGAGUGGCGAACGGGUGAGUAACACGUGAGUAACCUGCCCACGACUUUGGGAUAACUUCAGGAAACUGGGGCUAAUACCGGAUAGGAGCUCCUGCUGCAUGGUGGGGGUCGGAAAGUUUCGGCGGUUGGGGAUGGACUCGCGGCUUAUCCGUCUGUUGAUGGGGUAGUGGCUUACCAAGGCUUUGACGGGUAGCAGGCCUGAGAGGGUGACCGGCCACAUUGGGAAUGAGAUACGGCCCAGACUCCUGCGGGAGGCAGCAGUGGGGAAUAUUGCAUGAUGGGCGGAAGCCGGAUGCAGCAACGCCGCGUGCGGGAUGACGGCCUUCGGGUUGUAAACCGCUUUCGCCGUUGACGAAGCGUGAGUGACGGUAAUGGAUAAAGAAGCACCGGCUAACUACGUG
rnacentral:rRNA from 1 species